CAGUCGCCGCGGGAAAACCGAGGGUGCAAGCGUUAAUCGGAUUUACUGGGCGUAAAGGGCGCGUAGGUGGUUAUUUAAGUGAGAUGUGAAAGCCCCGGGCUUAACCUGGGAACUGCAUCUUAUACUGGGUAACUGGAGUGCAGUAGAGGGUAGUGGAAUUUCCGGUGUAGCGGUGAAAUGCGUAGAUAUCGGAAGGAACACCAGUGGCGAAGGCGGCUACCUGGACUGAGACUGACACUGAGGCGCGAGAGCGUGGGGAGCAAACAGGAUUAGAGACCCCAGUAGUCCCUGUCUCUUAUAA
rnacentral:rRNA from 1 species